rnacentral:rRNA from 1 species
CAGGUCAAGACAUGGGCGUGAUUGACAGGCUAAUGACUUUUCUCGAUUCCAUGGAUGGUGGUGCAUGGUCGCACUUAGUUGGUGCAGUGAUUUGUCAGGUUUAUUCCGGUAACGAACGAGACCUCGGCCUUGUAAAUAGCUAUGCUGCUUACAGGGACAUUGGCGGCUACGCCAAGGAAGCUCGAGGCAAUUGCAGAUCUGGAAUGCCCUUAGAUGUCCUGGGUCGCACGCGUGCUACAAUGACGCCACGAACGAGCUUGCGUGAUGAAAGUUACGCAUAAUCAGCAGUCGGCGUCUUAAGGGAUAGUCUCUUGUAACUGUGGGACUCCAACUAGGAAUGUCUCGUAAGCACAAGUCAACAUCUUGUGUUGAUUACGUCCCUGCUCGUUGUACACACCGCCCGUCGCUCCUACCGAUCGAGUGUUUCUUGAAUUGAGGACGUAAGGAAGUCAAAUAAACCUGAGCACUAGAGAAGAGAGCUCGGGGGUAUAAAAACCUUG